rnacentral:rRNA from 1 species
GAUGAACGCUGGCGGCGUGCUUAACACAUGCAAGUCGAGCGAAAAUAAUUAGGAGCUUGCUUUUAAUUAUUUUAGCGGCGGACGGGUGAGUAACGUGUGGGCAACCUGCCUUUUACUGGGGAAUAAUCCCUGGAAACGGUGACUAAUACCGCAUAAUAUUCUUGGAAGGCAUCUUCCGAGAAGGAAAGGAAAUAUUCGGUAAAAGAUGGGCCCGCAUCUGAUUAGCUAGUUGGUGAGAUAACAGCCCACCAAGGCGACGAUCAGUAGCCGACCUGAGAGGGUGACCGGCCACAUUGGGACUGAGACACGGCCCAAACUCCUACGGGAGGCAGCAGUGGGGAAUAUUGCACAAUGGGGGGAACCCUGAUGCAGCAACGCCGCGUGAAGGAAGACGGUUUUCGGAUUGUAAACUUCUAUCAAUAGGGAAGAAAGAAAUGACGG